AAGACAAUGAUAGUCUAAGACGAUGAAGACUAUGUUUGUCUAAGGAAUACCCACAACCGGUGUAAAACAAAAGGGUGAGAUCCCUAAUCCGCGCGAUCAGGAGGCUCCGGAGGAGGUUUGAUGAACGCCGGCAAAUUCCACUCAAGCUUAAGCCUUCUUGCACAUGAUUCGGUCAUUGCGCUCUUGCCAGAUCUUGUUAAUUGUUGUGGAUAACACAAGCUUGUUGACUGAAUUCUUCAAAUUUUUACUUGACCAGCGAAUCGACAGUUGAUCAACCAAAUCACUCCACCGAGAAGGGGAAAAGUAGAAAUUGCACUUGUUUUGGAGAGCGAUCUAGAUUGGGCGAGUAAAAGAGCAAGCAAAGAACAAGUGAUCAUGGGUUUCAUCAACAAGAUUGCAAAGAUGAAGUGUCUCAUACUUGCUCUAUCAAGGGUGGAAAGUCUUCUUUGUACUGCAAGCCACAAGGUAAAUUUGCAUCUUGGGAUGGAGAGGUUGUUCCAAACCAGGUGUUGCCAAUGUUUUGGAUGACUGUGCGCCCCGAGCCAUGCAAUUGUGUGAGAUAAUAGGUAUUCAAGACACUGUCAAUCUAAUUAUGAUUAGUUUAUUAAUUAUGUAAUCACUAGCCUAUUUAAAGAAGUAGCAUACUAUGAUCAAUUUGUUUAAUGGACGGGCACUUAUAACACGUCACAUAAAACAGACACUGUCAAUCUAAUUAUGAUUAGUUUAUUAAUUAUGUAAUCACUAGCCUAUUCAAAGAAGUAGCAUACCAUGAUCAAUUUGUUUAAUGGACGGGCACUUAUAACACGUCACAUAAAACAGGACACAAUAUGAUGGUAAUAUCCCGUUUAAUAUAUUUUUUUAUUAACUUUGUUUUGUAAUUGAUUAGGUUCUCUUGGUUGUUCUCAUUGUAGAUUUGUUGGCAUAGCUUGCAGUGCUAUUGUGCAAAUAAAUAAAUAGGUUUUUGAUAUGAAUUCGUCCGUGGAGUCGAACUAGGCAUGGCUUCCUAAGAACUUAGUGGAUGUGAUUAUAGACAACUUAGAUUCGCAAUCGGACUAUGUUCGCUUUGGUACAGUCUGCAAACCAUGGCAAUUUGUGACAGUGGAGAUCAACGUUAAAUAUGUUAAAAAUAAAUGCUACACACAAGUUCCAUUGUUGAUGGUCCCUACAAAAGAUAAUAGUGAAGAAACAGGCCGUCUAUUCCAAGGGCGGAUAUAAGGAUGGGCUAUGGUGGGCUUAAAUCCACUCCAAAAAAAAAAAAAUUUACUAUACUAAUUUUAGCCCACCUCAAAAAACAAAAACAAAAAAUAUUAAUACAAUUAACUCAUCCAAUCAAGCUCAAGUCAACUCAACCUCCAUACUAAAAUAAAGGCACAAGCCAAAUAAGGACAGGGCCGGCCCUGACCCAAUGUGACAAAGGCAGUCGCCUAGGGCCUCAAAAUUUAUAGGCCCAUGGAUGAUAGGUCACCAAAAAGACAAAAUAUUUUUAGAGCAAAUCAUUUCAGCCUCCCCCAAUCGCCUCCAUCUCUAUUCUCGUUCGACUCUGAACUUGCCCCCUCCCCAAUCACCUCCAUCUCUAUUCUCAUUCGACUCCUCCAUCUCUAUUCUCAUUCGACUCUGAACUCCCCCCCCCUUUCUGCAACUGCAAACUACAUAAUCUACAAGAAUCAAAAGUUCAAAACCCAUAUAUUUCAAUUUAUCUAUCUGUUUGCAAGAAUCAAAAGUUCAAAACCUAUAUUACCUAUAUCAAAACCCAUAUUGCUUAUGACAUGAUGUUGGAUUGUUCACGGGAAAGAGGUGCAAAAGCAAUCUUACCAUGGCUGAGUGAUUUAGACAGCCAGUAGCUCAUUUGAUCAUGAAGGACAUUCAUCCAGCUGACACUGAUAUGAAUCAUUAGAUUUUGUUUCUCAAGCAGCUCAUUUCAAAACAAUGCACCUGCGAGAUUGAACUGUACUACUUUCCUCUCAACGACCAGUGAUUUUUGUUUGAUUUUUUCCUUUUAGUUUCAGUUUCUUUUUCCCUUUUGAGAUGUUUCCACCUCAAGUGUAAUGGACAAUAAAUUACAUAUUUGUGUAAGACGAGAGUUGGUCAUGUGAUGUCUCACACGGGGAGAAGUUGCUGGCACUUAUAAUGGAAUGUCUCCUACUUGUAGAUGAAUUUAAAAAAUGGUGAACAAGGAGAGUGUGCGAAAUGGAUAGUAUCUACAUGAGACGGAUCUUGACAGAUGGUAUUAGAGCCGAUCUUUAGCCGAAAAUCAAUUAGUGUGCUCAAUCUCGUGAGGGUUAGGCUAGCGAGGAUGUUGGGUCCUAAGUCUUAAGAGGGGGUGAUUGUGAUGUCCCACAUAACUCUACUUGGCCCCUAAAAAACUAAAGAAGAAAAUGCUAUAUAGUUGUGACUGCCAAGUAGUAUACCACUCUUUUGCAGUAAACUCGGUUUAGAUUUUCAUUUGCUUUCCAGGGCAACCAGUGACUCAAUUUGUAGUUAAACUGCGAUUGUACAUACCAUGUAAAAUAAGCAAUUAAUCAAGAGGAGGAUAAAAGAGUUUUUUUAACGAUAAAAGUGAUGAAUUCUCUACAUUUAAUCACAGGAUGAUAUAGUUUAUGGAGAUUGAUGAAAAGUCAAAUGUCUUUCAAUUAACUGAGGGCUCAUGAGUAUACAAGACGGGUUAAGCUUAAAGAACUCCCAAUAAUGGGCCUAAUCCAUCCAAGCCCAAUUUAAAUUGCUUUUCUGAAGCCCACAUAGGGUGGAAGGUCUCGUAACCAUUGGCAUAUUAGGUCUAUUUAGCAAAGAGAACCCAUCUGACAAUGGAUGGCCGAGAUUUCAUACAUCCGAUUCCAGUUCAUCUUCACCGUCCAAAACUAGGGCAAAACUCGACCUCAUCAAUCCUUUCGCCUUUUAAACACUCCUUACUCCAAACCUCACUCUCUCUGCGCGGAAACUAGGGUUUUGUUCAUUCGUGAAGAACGAGUUGACCUUCACUUCGCGGUAAGGUUUGUCUCUAAAUCCAUGGAUAGUCUUUGUUUACGUGCCAUUCAAUUGGGUAACCUUCAAGUUUAUAAUAUGAUCGACUGAAGUUUUCACUGAAACGUUUCAUUUUUAAAAUUUUCACUAAUUUCAUCUGUUCUAACCUCCACUUUUCAAGUCAUUUUAUGUUGGAUUUGCUUUUCCUCUGCUUUUUCAAUAAUGUGGAGACAUCGAUUUAUUUCCAUACAUUUCACAUAUGAACGUGCUUUUAUUUGUGUGUGCGUAACUGUGUAUCUAUGCAUGUUUUAUUUAUAUACUCUGAACUUGCCCUCUCUAUCUGCAACUGCAAACUACAAAAUCUAUAAGUAUCAGAAGUUCAAAACCCAUAUAUUUCAGUUUAUCUAUCUGUCUGCAAGAAUCAAAAGUUCAAAACCUAUUACCUAUAUUAAAACCCAUAUCGGCAUAUCAUUUUAGAUUGUUCAAAAAAUUAAAACCCAUAUCUUUCAGUUUCCAUCGCCCACUGUUCUAGUUCGGGUUCGCCGUUAGCAAACUUUAACUGCUGGCCCGUUGUCUCUCAACUCUCGAGCAGGGCUAGCCAUGGCCCAAGGCGACCGCCUCAAAAUUUUGAGGCUCGUAGAGGAUAGAAUUUUUUUUUUUCUAAGUUAGGACAAGUCUUGGUCGCCUUGGGCGUCAAAUUUUGAGGCCCACAGGGGAUGAUGGAAAAAAAAAAAAAAAAAAAAAACGGAGCAUUAAGUUAGGGCAAGUUUCAGACGACACAAUCUGCCUGCGUCCUGGUGAAAAGGUAUGUUCAUCCUCUCUCUCUCUCCUCUCUCCAUUUGCAUGAAUCGAUCUUUUAUAUAUGUUUCUUUCUUUCGUUCAACUCAUCAUUUGAUUUGUGCUAACUUUGGUUCGUUUGAUUCGGGCCUUUACCUUUGUUCCAAUAGUGAAAAGUAGCUUCCAAACUAGGGUUUUUUGUGUGUCACUGUGUGUGAUGGCUAUCAAAAGCUGAAUGAAUGUAUUAUGGUUCUCUUAGUAUUUUAAUAAAUGUGUGCCUUUCUACAUGGGUCUUUCAUGGCGAUCGAGUCCAUAAUCUAUGGCAGACACUUUUUUUUUUCCUCUCCCUAAUUCCACUCCAAUCUCACAACAGCAGCAAUCAUACCCCUUUUCCUCAUAAGUUUUUGCAUUUUCACAUUCAAUCCUAUGAAAAUUAAGGAUCCCUUCUAGUGGGUUGAGCCGUUGAGGUAAUAAUUAACUUUUUCGAUCUCUAAAUUAUGCUCAUACUUAAAAGUGCCAAAUUUAGGUUUUUUUUUUUAUAUUUUAUUUUUAUAUGAAGAUACAUCCCACCAUUAUUGAUGUUAUUGGAAGUUGGCUCGGCUAGAAUUUCAGUUAAUAAUACUGUCAAAGCACUUGGCAACAGAAUGUACAAACACAUGGAAAUCAAGAGCAGGAUUUAACAAAAAAAAAGUUAAUGGUUUUUUCUAUUAAUUUGCACUGGUCUUCUGUAGCAAUGAUCAAUCAAUCACUGCUACUAAAGUUGAUUCCUCAUCCUGAAAUCAAGAAAGGGGACACUCUUCUUAGGAUCUCGUGAGGUUAUUUGCCUUGAACUUGAAUCAAAUCAUUGCAUAUUGAGAGUUAGCAUCGGGCCUUAACAUUUAGCAAGAACAAGGUUUAAGAAACAUGCCUCCUCAGUCAUUAGGGACGGGGCAAGUAAAGAUUCCCAAGUUGAAAUAAUUGCACCAAGGACCGAAGUGCAUGCUGACCAUACAUAUCUCGUGGAAUCAUCUAGUGGAGACUUGCUUAUUGUGCAACGGUUUAUGAAAGAAAUAGGAGAUGAUUUACAACAUGAAACUUCGGGCUUUGAGGUUUUCAAGCUGCUUCUACUGCCAAAUAAGAUGGGUGAUGCUAAGCGGAUUCGAGUGAAGAGCUUGGGUGGAGACACAAUGUUUUUGUUAGAUAGCCAUUCUACUUGUAUUUCAGCUUCAAACUUUAGAUUUGUUGACGUAGGUUGCAGUGCUAUAGUGCAAAUAAAUAAAUGGUUUUUGAUAUGAAUUCAUCCGUGGAGUCGGACUGGGCAUGGCUUCCUAAGAAGUUAUUGGAUGUGAUUAUGGACAAGUUAGAUUCGCAAUUGAACUAUGUUUGCUUUGGUGCAAUCUGCAAACCAUGGCAAUUUGUGGUAGUGGAGAACAAAGUUAAAUAUGUUAAAAAUAAAUGCUACACACAAGUUCCAUUGUUGAUGGUCCCUACAAAAGAUAAUAGCUAAGAAAGGCGCAGUUUAUACAGCAUCACCCACAACAAAAUAUAUGAUUUUCAAUUACAGGUACCUUACAAAAAGAGGUGUUGUGGUUUUUCGUAUGAUUGGUUGUUCACUGUUGAAGAAAACGCGGGUGUAACUCUAAUAAACCCCUUCGCUGGUUCUGUACUGAGUUUUCAAGGCUAUAUUGUCGGCUGACCGUGCUUUGUCUCCCGAUGACUACAUAGUUACUGCCAUCUAUGAUGAUCUCCGCCAUUUGGCAGUCUUUCAACCUGGUGACAAAACUUGGACUUAUCUAGAGGAUGAGAGGUUUAAUGUAAUCUAUGAUAUGUCAUAUAUUAUAAAGGCCAAAUUUUUGCAGUAGAUUCUUAUGGUGGAGUCAUAAUGAUUGAGGGACAGGGCAAGUAAAGAUCCCCAAGUUAAAAUAAUUGCACCAAAGUGUAUGCUGACCUUACAUAUCUCGUGGAAUCAUCUAGUGGAGACUUGCUUAUUGUCCAACAGUGUAUGAAAGAAAUAGGAGAUGAUUUACAACAUGAAACAUCUGGCUGCAAGGUUUUCAAGCUGCUUCUACCGCCAAACAUGAAGGGUUAUACUAAGCGGAUUUGAGUGAAGAGCUUGGGUGGAGACACAAUGUUUUUUGGGGAUAGCCAUUCUACUUGUAUUCAGCUUCAAAGUUCCUUGGAUGCUAGCCAAAUUCCAUAUACUGAUAAUUAUUAUAUGUUUUUAGCUUACCCACCGUAUGGGCGCCGUGAUAUUGGUAUCUUCAACGUAGAGAAUGGAAGCUUUGGCACACAUUACAUUCUUGAUCCUUCACAUAGGGAGAAGCUGCCUGCAAUUUGAAUCGUCUCAACUGUGCGUGGAAAUUGAGUAUAGACAUGAUUCUUUUGAUUGCCUUUUGGUCAAAAUCUAGUUUAAUUUUGAAUUAACAUAUCAAAAAAAAAAAAAAAAAAAAUGAAUUUCAAUUUUAUUACCUUGUUGUUGGCUUGUUUCUGCUUUGCUACUUGGCGAACUCCCCCAUUCGGAUACGCUAUUUCACAGAAUAUCAUGAUUCUAAUAAUUAUUGUGGUUGUUUCUCAUAAGAUGUGUUUUUGUGGUAUGAUAAAUUUGUUUUUAGCUCAUACUCCUGUUGUUCUCAUAGCAAAGUGCACCUCAGCUAUAAGCAUUCAACUAAGUUUAACUGUAGCAUGUUAUAGGAUCCCAAAUAGGCUCACUUGCGUGCUGUAAGAUAAUUGGAUUUGAGUUGCGUUGCUUUCCGGGGCCCCUAGCCCUCCAGCAUGUGCUAGGUAACAUAGACCUCUGACCUCAGUAUCAUGAAUAAUACUCUUUUUGCUGGGAUACUUUUAUACAACAUAAUCCAUCUUUGCAACAGUUGUCCUGGUUGGUCCGUUUAAGGCUUAGUAAGACUGCACUAUCUCAUGUUUAUUAAUCAAGUGUAGAAUUUGCAUUUAAGCUUGAUGAAUCUCCAGAUUGGAGACACAAAACUGCAGUUGAAGAAAAGAUGGUGGUGGGAUUCAGGAUGAUUUUUGCAUAUAUCGCAUAUGUUGUCAUGGGUGGACAUUAAUCUGCUGUCAAGAGUGGAUAAUCUGGAUUGGACUGCUAACCAGAGGUUGAGUUCCAUUCUAGGGAUUGUAAGGGGAGAUCCAAACUAGAUUGUGCCAAUGAACUAGUGGUGCCUGCUCUGUGAGGAACAUUGUUGUAUGCCUGAAGUUAGACAGCCCAUUUGGUGAUGCCAGCCAAUGCUUAGAAUCCUCUCUAGAAGGGCAAGGAGGAGGGAGUUGUAGCAGCUCUGGUAUGGCAGAUGAGAGAGAAUUGGGGAAUGACCAAGAUGAAUUGUUGAUGAAGGUGUCAAAAUUAAUUGAAUCAUUGAAUCCUGCAUUGUUGAGUGCUGAGAGGGAAACGAGUGCAAGGAGGACCACCAACGGACCAAUAAUCAUGCCAAAAAGAAGUCUGUGAGCCACUGCCAAUUCUGUGUUCGAGGAGAAGUAAUAUUUCUUGUAAAAUAUAUUGAAGAUGUUCAUGUAAAACAAACAACUCAUGAAUAUAGUAAAACUCUUCACUUGUACCCUUGUCAGUGGCCCUCUACUUAAUUUUUCCAUUUUUACCUCAAGAGGAGAGUGUGAAUACUU